GAUGAACGCUGGCGGCGUGCUUAACACAUGCAAGUCGAACGGAAAGGCCUUGUGCUUGCACAAGGUACUCGAGUGGCGAACGGGUGAGUAACACGUGGGUGAUCUGCCCUGCACUGUGGGAUAAGCCCGGGAAACUGGGUCUAAUACCAUAUAGGACCACUUCUUGGAUGUUGUGGUGGAAAGCUUUUGCGGUGUGGGAUGAGCCUGCGGCCUAUCAGCUUGUUGGUGGGGUAAUGGCCUACCAAGGCGGCGACGGGUAUCCGGCCUGAGAGGGUGUACGGACCCAUUGGGACUGAGAUACGGCCCAGACUCCUACGGGAGGCAGCAGUGGGGAAUAUUGCACAAUGGGCGCAAGCCUGAUGCAGCGACGCCGCGUGGGGGAUGACGGCCUUCGGGUUGUAAACUCCUUUCGCUAUCGACGAAGCCACUUGUUGUGACGGUAGGUAGAUAAGAAGCACCGGCUAACUACGUGCCAGCCGCCGCCGUAA
rnacentral:rRNA from 1 species